UCUUCAGUAGCUCAGUCGGUUAGAGCAUCUGACUGUUAAUCAGAGGGUCGCUGGUUCAAGUCCAGCCUGAAGAGCCA
rnacentral:tRNA from 1 species